UGGGGCGGGGCCUCGGCGCUGGGCGACACCGGGGACUAGAGCUAAGGGCGGGGACUCGCGCGUCUCACUCUGUCACCCAGGCUGGAGUGCAGUGGUAUGAUCAUAGCUCACUGUCGUCUCAAACGCCUGGGCUCAAGAGAUCCUUCGGCCCCGGCCUCCCAAAGUACUGAGAUCACAGGCGUGAGCCACCGUGCAGGCUGAGCAUACCUUUGAUAUGCAGAGCGACCGUCAUGAGUCCCACCUGCCUCCUUUCAUCAGGCUCCUGCAUUCCAGAACACUAGCCCCCUGCCCUAAAUCACCCCAGGGCCAGGUACCAGAUAGUUAGAUACCACCCCCCAAGCCCAGAGCCCACUGAAAUGACCCAAUUCUAACUCUGCUCAGCUCGCCUACUCUGCCUUGUCUGGAAAAUGGCAAUAAAGGCUCUUGCCCGCCCUUUCCCUUCACCCACUCUCUGUCCUGACUGGCCCUGGGUGCUUCCCCACAUGCCCCUCCUCCUGGGAACUGUGAGUAAUAAACUCCUCUUUCAAAGGCA